rnacentral:lncRNA from 1 species
GCCGCUGCUGAGCGGCGGUCGGGCUCGCCGUCUCCACCUCCUCGCGUCCGUAAUCAGUGACGAGGUCCGCUACGUAAAUCCCUUUGCGGCGGACAAAUGACCAUGGAAACAGUUGAAUCCCAGCAUGAUGGAAGUAUAACAGCUUCUUUGACAGAGAGCAAGUCUGCUCAUGUGCAGACUCAGACUGGCCAAAAUUCAAUCCCUGCUUUAGCUCAGUGCACAAUGUGUAAGGAGUCCCUCGGAAUAAAGCAGCCCUGGCAUGCCAUCGGGGAUUGAAGUAGGAACGAUUUAACAAGGGAUACUUGGAAAUGUUGUCAUGUGCGAGUUGUAAAUUUUCUUUUUUAAUCUGGUGGAAAAUUGGAAUGGCAUUUCUCUGUUUUGCCCAGCUAUGCCAAAAAUCUUCUUGGUCCCACAUAGGCCUAGGAAGGAUGUAGAUGGCAAUCACAAAACAAACAAAAAAUGAGCAAACAAAUAGAAGACCUCAAGCAACAUUUUCUCUUGUUAAUAGGUUAGCAACCUCAUAUUUGUAUAUUAAAGAGAUCUGCAUUAUGUUAGGUUGAUUUCAUAUAAUUUCAGCUAAGUAGAUCUAGUUUAAGGUCAGUGUUUUAUUGAAUCUUGUAUUUUAGCUUCAGUAUAUUAAUUUCCUUAGCUGAGGGACUCCUACUGAAGGAGAAAAGUGUUCCUGUUAAAAUUUUGAAAUAAAAGUUUCUGUUUUACUGUA